AUUGAACGCUGGCGGCAGGCCUAACACAUGCAAGUCGAGCGAGCGGCGGACGGGUGAGUAAUGCCUAGGAAACUGCCCGAUGGAGGGGGAUCACUACUGGAAACGGUAGCUAAUACCGCAUACCAUCGGAUGUGCCCAGAUGGGCUUAGCUUGUAGGUGAGGUAACGGCUCACCUAGGCGACGAUCCCUAGAUGGUCUGAGUGGAGGACCAGCCACACUGGAACAUAGACACGGUCCAGACUCCUACGGGAGGCAGCAUUGGGGAAUAUUGCACAAUGUGCGCAAGCCUGAUGCAGCCAUGCCGCGUGUAUGAAGAAGGCCUUCGGGUUGUAAAGUACUUUCAGCGGGGAGGCGUUACCCGCAGAAGAAGCACCGGCUAACUCCGUGCCAGCAGCCGCGGUAAUAC
rnacentral:rRNA from 1 species